CCAAUAGCGUAUAUUAAAGUUGUUGCAGUUAAAAAGCUCGUAGUUGAAUUUCGGGGUUAGUAGGUUGGUCAUGCCUCUGGUAUGUACUGGUCUCACUGAUUCCUCCUUCCUGAUGAACCGUAAUGCCAUUAAUUUGGUGUUGCGGGGAAUUUGGACUGUUACUUUGAAAAAAUUAGAGUGUUUAAAGCAAGCUAACGCUUGAAUACAUUAGCAUGGAAUAAUGAAAUAGGACGUUCGAUCCUAUUUUGUUGGUUUCUAGGAUUGACGUAAUGAUUAAUAGGGAUAGUUGGGGGCAUUAGUAUUCAAUUGUCAGAGGUGAAAUUCUUGGAUUUAUUGAAGACUAACUACUGCGAAAGCAUUUGCCAAGGAUGUUUUCAUUAAUCAAGAACGAAAGUUAGGGGAUCGAAGACGAUCAGAUACCGUCGUAGUCUUAACCAUAAACUAUGCCGACUAGGGAUCGGAUGAUGUUAAUUUUAUAAUGACUCAUUCGGCACCUUACG
rnacentral:rRNA from 1 species